UACGGAGGAUCCAAGCGUUAUCCGGAUUUAUUGGGUUUAAAGGGUGCGUAGGCGAUCUUAUAAGUUAGAGGUUAAAGCUCGGGGCUCAACUCCGGAACUGCCUCUAAUACUGUAGGACUAGAGAGUAGAUGCGGUAGGCGGAAUGUAUGGUGUAGCGGUGAAAUGCGUAGAGAUCAUACAGAACACCGAUUGCGAAGGCAGCUUACCAAACUAUAUCUGACGUUGAGGCACGAAAGCGUGGGUAGCAAACAGG
rnacentral:rRNA from 1 species